rnacentral:lncRNA from 1 species
UAAAAAGAGAGAGAAAUAAAGAGAACAAGAUAAAGAAAGAGAAAAGAGAGAAAGAAAGAGAAAAAUAGAAAGGAAGAGAGAAAGAGAGAGAGAAAGAAAGAAAGAAAGAAAGAAAGAAAGAAAGAAAGAAAGAAAGAGAGAGAAAGAAAGAAAGAAAGAAAGAAAGAAAGAAAGAAAGAAAGAAAGAAAGAAAGAAAGAAAGAAAGAAAGAAAGAAAGAAAGAAAGAAAGAAAGAAAGAAAGAAAGAAAGAAAGAAAGAAAGAAAGAAAGAAAGGAAGGAAGGAAGGAAGGAAGGAAGGAAGGAAGGAAGGAAGGAAGGAAGGAAGGAAGGAAGGAAGGAAGGAAGGAAGGAAGGAAGGAAGGAAGGAAGAGAGAAAUAAGAGAGGAAGAAAGAAGAAAGAAGAAGAAGAAGAAGAAGAAGAAGAAGAAGAAGAAGAAGAAGAAGAAGAAGAAGAAGAAGAAGAAGAAGAAGAGAGAAGAAGAGAGAAGAAGAGAGAAGAGAGAGAGAAGAGAGAGAGAAAGAAAGAGAGAAAGAGAGAGAGAAAGAGAGAGAGAAAGAGAGAGAGAAAGAGAGAGAGAAAGAAAGAAAGAAAGAAAGAAAGAAAGAAAGAAAGAAAGAAAGAAAGAAAGAAAGAGAGAAAGAAAGAGAGAGAGAAAGAGAGAGAGAAAGAGAGAGAGAAAGAGAGAGAGAAAGAGAGAGAGAAAGAGAGAGAGAAAGAGAGAAAGAAAGAAAGAAAGAAAGAAAGAAAGAAAGAAAGAAAGAAAGAAAGAAAGAAAGAAAGAAAGAAAGAAAGAAAGAAAGAAAGAAAGAAAGAAAGAAAGAAAGAAAGAAAGAAAGAAAGAAAGAAAGAAAGAAAGAGAAAGGGAGGGAGGGAGGGAGGGAGGGAAGGAGGGAAACAUUUGUAUGAACUGAUGCAAAGUGAAGUGAGCAGAAUUGGGAGAAUAAUUUAUACAAUAAAAGUAAUACAGUUAGAGCUAUCUUUUAAAGAUUUAGAUACAAUGACUCACCACAAUACCAAAGGACUCCAGAAGAA